GCCUGGGUGGCUCGGUCGGUUAAGCAUCUGACUUCAGCUCAGGUCAUGAUCUCACAGUUCGUGGGUUCGAGCCCCGUGUCAGGCU
rnacentral:tRNA from 1 species